GGUCGAUUAGCCAUGCUAGUUGCACGAGUUUAGACUCGUGGCGAAAAGCUCAGUAACACGUGGUCAAACUACCCUACGAAGACCCAUAACCUCGGGAAACUGAGGCUAAUAGGUCAUAGGUGAGUUACGCUGGAAUGCCAACUCUCCCAAACGCUCAGGCGUCGUAGGAUGUGGCUGCGGCCGAUUAGGUAGACGGUGGGGUAACGGCCCACCGUGCCGAUAAUCGGUACGGGUUGUGAGAGCAAGAGCCCGGAGACGGAAUCUGAGACAAGAUUCCGGGCCCUACGGGGCGCAGCAGGCGCGAAACCUUUACACUGCACGCAAGUGCGAUAAGGGGACCCCAAGUGCGAGGGCAUAUAGUCCUCGCUUUUUCCGACCGUAAGGUGGUCGGCGAAUAAGGGCUGGGCAAGACCGGUGCCAGCCGCCGCGGUAAUACCGGCAGCCCAAGUGAUGACCGAUAUUAUUGGGCCUAAAGCGUCCGUAGCCGGCCAUGAAGGUUCAUCGGGAAAUCCGCCAGCUCAACUGGCGGGCGUCCGGUGAAAACCACGUGGCUUGGGACCGGAAGGCUCGAGGGGUACGUCCGGGGUAGGAGUGAAAUCCCGUAAUCCUGGACGGACCACCGAUGGCGAAAGCACCUCGAGAAGACGGAUCCGACGGUGAGGGACGAAAGCUAGGGUCUCGAACCGGAUUAGAUACCCGGGUAGUCCUAGCUGUAAACGAUGCUCGCUAGGUGUGGCACAGGCUACGAGCCUGUGCUGUGCCGUAGGGAAGCCGAGAAGCGAGCCGCCUGGGAAGUACGUCCGCAAGGAUGAAACUUAAAGGAAUGGCGGGGAGCACUACA
rnacentral:rRNA from 1 species